rnacentral:rRNA from 1 species
AUGAAGUUAAAUGCCUCUCCGGGACCAGAUGGUUUUAAUGUUGAAUUCUAUUUGGCUGCUUGGGAUUGGAUAGGAGAGGAGGUUACGCAACUUGUGGCCAACUUUUACAUCACCGAUAUUUUGCCUCCUCAUAUUAAUGACACAAGUAUUGCUCUUAUCCCCAAAAAGCUUGUCCCUCAAGUUCCUAUGGACUAUCGUCCU